GAGAUGGAUAUUCCAACAGGAACCAAAACACAUGUCAGAUAUUUUUUUUUUGCAUAUUCUAUCAUAUUUAAAAUUCUAAGUAACCUUAAAUUUGGCUUAAUGGAAAUUAAUGUCAUUACAUCCAUGUCAAUUUUCUUACAAUAGCGUAUAAAUUCAUAAAAGCGAAUUCAAAUGACUUCAUUCAAGGCAUGCAGUUCCCGUACAAAAAAAACUCCUGUUUUACAACUGUAAGACGACUGAAAAACACCUGUUUUUGUAAAAAUACAGGUCUUAGGGACCUGUGUUUGCUGAAUUUGACAUUUCGACUAAGAAAUACAGGUGUAUUUUAACAAUUUUACAGGUGUAUUUUUGAGACAAGACCUGUGUUUUAGAUGUACACAUGUAAUUCUGAUACUUAGAAAAUAUUGAGCUGAUAUUUUGUGCUGAAAAUAAUCUAAGUCCAAAACUACAACUGUAUUUUCAAUGAUACAGAUGUACAAUACACACUAAGAAAAUCUGUUAGAGAAAUUGUUCUUAUUUAAAUACUUUAAUAUCUUUGAUGCAAUUGUACAGACUGCAUGCACAUUAUUUACAUUUAGGAUUUAAUUUUUAACAUUCAUAAUGUAAGCAACUUUGAACUAAGAGUGCUAUCUAAAUUUGAAUAUACAUGUACAUUGUAUAUGAUUAUUUAGUUUUAAAAUAAAUAAUAAAGCCUGUCUUUGUUGUUCUUUUAAGUAUAAAAAGGAACAACAACAAAAACUAUAACAACAACAAACUGGUACAUGUUCUUAUUCAAGACUCCAAAUUUGCAGACAUUAUGAGUUAUUCUUCACUCUGUAAAGUUAAUUGUGUAUGAAAUAAACUCAUACAUUUAGCUCUCUCAAUCUAGUUUGUAAUAUAAAUGACCUGUUAAAUAGGAUAAAUAAAUAAACACUGCCUCUACUACUCUACAAUGAUUUUACACAACUGACUGAUUUUACACUUUGCACUGACCAGUCUGAUAAUGGUAACCACCUGUUUUCCCACCAUAAAUUCUCUACAGUCCAGACUCUUCCAUUUGAUUUUUUUCUGGGGGGAAACAACUUUAUAGAUUUUAAAUGAAGUCUGUUUAGAAGGACAUUGCAAAGUUAUCUUUAAAAACUUAUUAUGAAUUUGAAAUUCUACAUUACACUUUUUUUUCUCAUAUGUCUAUAUGAUUGUGAAAGUAAAAUGAUGGGUGCUUUGAUUUAAGGAAUAUCCCUGUUUAACAUUAUGCAUGAUGAAUCAGUCCAGUUCUACAGUUGUAAAAUUUGAAAUCUGAGGUAUUUGUGGAAGUAGAGUGCUCAUGUAUCACAAAGGAUCUUAUUGAUAAAUAAGAAAUUGUGGAGAUAUAAGCAAUGUUGUAGGCAAUAUUUUGUAUAAAAUAUUUGGAUGUAAAUUCUUAAACUUUUCAAAGAAAAAAAUCAAGGCUACACUCUUGUAAAUGAAAAUGACAAUAUUCUAGAUUAUGGGAUAUGCUGGUUGCAAAUGAAAUUUGAACCUUGGACAAGAAGAUGAAAACCAGAAUCAUAAAAAAAUCAGGUCACAGUACACCCCCCAGAGACGUUGAUCUACAUGAAACAAAGCAAAGGACUAAAACAGACAUGGUGAAGCUGCUUUAAACAGGAUCUUAAAUCACAAUACCGGGGACCAGUUAAGAAGAGAAAACACUUGCAAAGGCUUAAUUCCAAGUACCUAUAUAUGUAGACAUUAAUUUUGCAAAUACUGGCAAUAAAUUUUUACAAGAAAAAAAACUUUAUAAGCAUUUGUGAAUUUUUCUUCAAACAGUGUUAUUCAUGACUUGGAUUUUAUUGAUGCAGUAUCAGUAGUGCAAGACUGUAACAGAAUGUAAUAAAAUAUAGUAAUCCAUUUAAGACAAAGUGAAAAUUUGUUAUAUUUAUCCCCAUAUUUAGUGAUAGUGAUUCUAGUUCAGUGAUAUUUCUGCUCACCUUGGCACACAGUGCCAUUGUGAACUAUUGUGAUUGUAUAAUGUCUGCUAUUUGUACCUACAUCUUGUAAAAGGAUAUUUUCUCCUCAACCAUUUCUUAUUUUUAAAGAUUGAGUAGCAACAAAAGCACCAAAUUUCUGACCAAAGUGUAUUUAUCCCAAUGAAAAAGAUAUUUGCACCAAACAUGCCAAAUAUGUUUGCAUUUAUGUGUGGUUUUCAUCCCUUAAAUGAUAAAUGCACCUGUAUUUUAUUUUUGACCUGUAAAAUUUUACACCUGUAUAUUUGAGCUGAAAAAAUUUUACACCUGUAUUUUUAGACCUGUAAAAUUUUACACCUGUAUUUUAAACAGCUGUAAAACAGUACAACUGUAUUUUCGACCCGUAGAAAAAAACGGUUAAUUUACAUAUUUCGUUCAUAGUACAGGUGUAAAACAGGUGUAUUUUUGAAAAAACAGGUGUAAUUUGCUAUAUGUUUAUCAAAACUGAAGAAAAAUACAGCUGUAUUUUUUAACAGAAAAACAGGUGUAUUUUAGGCAAAAUUACAGGAGUAAAAUUUCGUACA